rnacentral:rRNA from 1 species
GAUGAACGCUGGCGGCGUGCCUAAUACAUGCAAGUCGAGCGAACGGACGAGAAGCUUGCUUCUCUGAUGUUAGCGGCGGACGGGUGAGUAACACGUGGAUAACCUACCUAUAAGACUGGGAUAACUUCGGGAAACCGGAGCUAAUACCGGAUGAUAUUUUGAACCGCAUGGUUCAAAAGUGAAAGACGGUCUUGCCGUCACUUAUAGAUGGAUCCGCGCUGCAUUAGCUAGUUGGUAAGGUAACGGCUUACCAAGGCAACGAUGCAUAGCCGACCUGAGAGGGUGAUCGGCCACACUGGAACUGAGACACGGUCCAGACUCCUACGAGAGGCAGCAGUAGGGAAUCUUCCGCAAUGGGCGAAAGCCUGACGGAGCAACGCCGCGUGAGUGAUGAAGGUCUUCGGAUCGUAAAACUCUGUUAUUAGGGAAGAACAUAUGUGUAAGUAACUGUGCACAUCUUGACGGUACCUAAUCAGAAAGCCACGGCUAACUACGUG